AUGGAGCCCAAGCAGCCGGCGGCCAACCUCGCCGCCGCCGCCGCCGAGCCGGAGGAGGACGAGGCGGACGAGGAGACGGAGGACGCGCUGCUGGACCGCGCGCAGGCCCUCAUCUCCCGCGCCGUCGAGCAGGAGGCCAACCCCAACCUGCCGCACGGCGACUCCUCGCGCUCCAGCCGCCGCGUACCUCAACGUCGGGGCAACAUGACCAUCGCAGCCAAGGCUGGAGUCACGUUGGAAAUCCCAAACGGGGCUGUGCUCGAGAACAAGAGGCUCACAGUUAAACAAGAAGGCCAGGCUCCAGCCAGUGAUGUUGAGGCUGCCUAUACAACACAGACCCAUGCCACUUACAACAAUCACGGAGCAAUGGGAAAUGAUGAGCUCCUGCUUCUUUUUAUGCCGGUUCAGGAGUGUAGGAAGUGGUUCCUCGCCGGUUGGACGUCAUUCAACCGCAGCUCUGGCACCCACUGA
rnacentral:rRNA from 1 species